rnacentral:tmRNA from 1 species
GGGGGUGAUCGGUUUCGACUUCGGCAGUUGAAGUGAGAGAAGCGAGCCGUGGUCUCCGGAGCCACGUUAAAGAGCCGGAACACACAACAAACGCCAACGUUUCUAACGACGACCUGGCGCUCGCUGCCUGAUCAAGCUUCGGCUUAGUCAGUAAGUGAGUUGGCCGCCGAUUCCAUGCCCUGCGGAGUCGGCGUGCCUUCAUGAAGCGGGGCUCAUCUGCAACGAAUGCCGACGGCUUUGCGGAAACAUCUCAGUCGGAUAAGGAGCUUGCGGGCUGUCGAUGGCCCUCAUCCUCCCGACAAUCGCUCAUCGACUGCGCUCGGAGAAGACUCAUAGAUGCGUCGAAGGACGCGGGUUCGAUUCCCGCCACCUCCACCA